rnacentral:rRNA from 1 species
ACGGAAGGCAGCAGUGGGGAAUAUUGCACAAUGGGGGAAACCCUGAUGCAGCGACGCCGCGUGAGUGAAGAAGUAUUUCGGUAUGUAAAGCUCUAUCAGCAAGGAAGAAAAUGACGGUACUUGACUAAGAAGCCCCGGCUAACUACGUGCCAGCAGCCGCGGUACUACGUAGGGGGCAAGCGUUAUCCGGAUUUACUGGGUGUAAAGGGAGCGUAGACGGUAAUGCAAGUCAGAAGUGAAAGCCCAAGGCUCAACCAUGGGACUGCUUUUGAAACUGUAAUACUAGAGUGCAGGAGAGGUAAGUGGAAUUCCUAGUGUAGCGGUGAAAUGCGUAGAUAUUAGGAGGAACACCAGUGGCGAAGGCGGCUUACUGGACUGUAACUGACGUUGAGGCUCGAAAGCGUGGGGAGCAAACAGGAUUAGAUACCCUGGUA